UACGUAGGUGGCAAGCGUUGUCCGGAUUUAUUGGGCGUAAAGGGAGCGCAGGUGGUUUCUUAAGUCUGAUGUGAAAGCCCACGGCUUAACCGUGGAGGGUCAUUGGAAACUGGGAAACUUGAGUACAGAAGAGGAAUGUGGAACUCCAUGUGUAGCGGUGGAAUGCGUAGAUAUAUGGAGGAACACCAGUGGCGAAGGCGACUUUCUGGUCUGCAACUGACGCUGAUGUGCGAAAGCGUGGGGAUCAAACAGG
rnacentral:rRNA from 1 species